rnacentral:rRNA from 1 species
GGGGGCGGCGUGCCUAUACUGCAAGUCGAGCGAAUGGAUUAAGAGCUUGCUCUUAUGAAGUUAGCGGCGGACGGGUGAGUAACACGUGGGUAACCUGCCCAUAAGACUGGGAUAACUCCGGGAAACCGGGGCUAAUACCGGAUAACAUUUUGCACUGCAUGGUGCGAAAUUGAAAGGCGGCUUCGGCUGUCACUUAUGGAUGGACCCGCGUCGCAUUAGCUAGUUGGUGAGGUAACGGCUCACCAAGGCAACGAUGCGUAGCCGACCUGAGAGGGUGAUCGGCCACACUGGGACUGAGACACGGCCCAGACUCCUACGGGAGGCAGCAGUAGGGAAUCUUCCGCAAUGGACGAAAGUCUGACGGAGCAACGCCGCGUGAGUGAUGAAGGCUUUCGGGUCG